UACGUAGGGUGCGAGCGUUGUCCGGAAUUAUUGGGCGUAAAGAGCUCGUAGGUGGUCCGCUACGUCCGCUGUGAAACCCAGGGACUUAACCCUGGGCUUGCAGUGGAUACGGGCAGACUAGAGUGUGGUAGGGGAGACUGGAAUUCCUGGUGUAGCGGUGAAAUGCGUAGAUAUCAGGAGGAACACCGGUGGCGAAAGCGGCCCUCUGGACCACAACUGACGCUGAGGCGCGAAAGCUAGGGGAGCAAACAGG
rnacentral:rRNA from 1 species